AAGUCGUAACAAGGUUUCCGUAGGUGAACCUGCGGAAGGAUCAUUAAAAAAAUGUCUUUGGUCACACGUAUAGAUUCGUCUGUACGUGGGGCCACUGUACACCUCUUUUGCCCGCAAGGGUAAUUGUGUCCACCCUUUGUGAAACUUCUAAUUUGCUUCGGCAGCGCUCUCAGUGGGUAAAACUGCUGGAGGGAUAAGGCUGUCAGAAGACCAUUUAUAAAACUAGUUUGAUGAAAUGUCAUGCAGUCUGAUAACACUAUUCUUUGAGAAAUCAAAUUAUAUUAAAACUUUCAGCAACGGAUCUCUUGGUUCUCGCAUCGAUGAAGAACGCAGCGAAACGCGAUAGGUAAUGUGAAUUGCAGAAUUCCGUGAAUCAUCGAAUCUUUGAACGCACAUUGCGCCUGCUGGUAUUCCGGUAGGCAUGCCUGUUUGAGCGUCAGCAAAAACCUCUCAGUAGUACUUUAUUGUAAUGCUGGUUAUGGGUGCAGAGGAAUGGUGUUUGUUCACCGCUCUCACUUUAAACUUGCUGCACGACCGCAAGCUAAUGCUAGGUUAAUGGAGUGGUAUUUAUAAUAUUUCAUCAACUGUGCAAUGGCUUAUGGCGUUAAAAUUGAUGUUGCCUAACCGCGACUGAAGUUUGACCUCAAAUCAGACAAGGAUACCCGCUGAACUUAAGCAUAUCAAUAAGCGGAGGAAAAGAAACCAACAGGGAUUGCCUCAGUAACGGCGAGUGAAGCGGCAAGAGCUCAGAUUUGAAAUCCGGUAUGCUUUGUGUACCCGAGUUGUAAUCUGGAGAGAGGACUUCGGUUUAGGCAUCGGUCAAAAUUCCUUGGAAUAGGAUGACAUAGAGGGUGAGAACCCCGUAUCUGGUUGACCGCCAACACCAUGUGAAGCUUCUUCGACGAGUCGAGUUGUUUGGGAAUGCAGCUCUAAAUGGGUGGUAAAUUCCAUCUAAAGCUAAAUAUCUGCGAGAGACCGAUAGCGCACAAGUAGAGUGAUCGAAAGAUGAAAAGCACUUUGAAAAGAGAGUUAAAAAGUACGUGAAAUUGUUGAAAGGGAAGCGCUUGCCAUCAGAAUUGAGGUUAGCCGAUCAACGUUCCUUCUGGUUCGUGCACUCGGUUGACAUUCGUGCCAGCACCAGUUGCAGCGGUAUGAUAAAGAUGGUGGGAAUGUGGCUCCCCUCGGGGAGUGUUAUAGCCCACUAUGUCAUGAUGCCAGCUGCGACUGAGGACCGCGCCCUAGGCAAGGGUGCUGGCUUAAUGGUUGUAAGCGGCC
rnacentral:rRNA from 1 species